CCUACGGGAGGCAGCAGUCGAGAAUCAUUCACAAUGGGGGAAACCCUGAUGGUGCGACGCCGCGUGGGGGAAUGAAGGUCUUCGGAUUGUAAACCCCUGUCAUGUGGGAGCAAAUUAAAAAGAUAGUACCACAAGAGGAAGAGACGGCUAAAUCGGUGCCAGCAGCCGCGGUACUACAGAGGUCUCAAGCGGUGUUCGGAAUCACUGGGGGUAAAGCGGGCGUUGGCUGUUUCGUAAGUCGUGUGUGAAAGGCGCGGGCUCAACCCGCGGACGGCACAUGAUACUGCGAGACUAGAGUAAUGGAGAGGGAAGCGGAAUUCUCGGUGUAGCAGUGAAAUGCGUAGAUAUCGAGAGGAACACUCGUGGCGAAGGCGGGUUCCUGGACAUUAACUGACGCUGAGGCACGAAGGCGAGGGGAGCGAAAGGGAUUAGAUACCCCUGUAGUC
rnacentral:rRNA from 1 species